GUACAAGAUUUUCUUUAAUGGUCUUCAUAAAAGAUAAUGUAAAAAGAUACCUAGAAAGAGUCUGGGUAACAAAGCUCAAUACAAGAUUAGGAUGACUUAGGGUUUCUACAUUUAAGUUGUCAUACUGUAGCAAGUGACCAAACUUUUAACGACUCUACAAAAAACUAGUGAAAGAAUUUGAACAACUCCUUUUUCCCUCAAAAAUAGUAAUCCAGUCAUUUAACAUCACCAUGCUUCACAGCACAGGUAAAAAGGUGACAGAGUCAGGAAGAGGCUUUUCCAGUGCGCGUAAUUCCAGACUGCCCACUGGUCAUCAAACAGACUGAGCAGUAUCAAAGACAGGAGACUGGACUAGCUGAACCAGUUAAGUUUGGGCUGGCAUCCUCUGUUUUUCCUUUUCUGAGGUAAUAGACUUUGAGCACCACAGUGGCUCCACUGAUCAGUUACUGUAUUCCUGUAGCAAAUACAGAAUUGUCACAACAGCUGGCUUUUACAAAAAUUGGCUUUUAAAUGCAUUUUAGAUUCUAUUUAAUUCAAGAUAUUCAUUGCCCCAAAUUAGCAAGUGAUAGCAGCAAUGCUGUAAUUUCCAUUCAGUUGUUAAAUUCCCCAUUAGGGCCUAGGAAAAGAGAAAGCUUGGAAAAUUCUGUGAUUUGGCUUUGGCUAUACUUACAUCCAGCACAUUUCCUUAUAAAGCUGACAUUGAGUGUUGCUAGUGGAUAGCCUUUACAUUAGAGCUCUAUGCUGGCAGAGACAGCCAUUCACUAAUUAAGAGAUUUAGUCAUGAGAGCUCAUUCCUGCCUCCCUCAAUAACAUAUUAAUUUCUUACAACUCUUUAAAUCAUCACUAAGUAUGCAUUCCUAUAAUGGAAUACAUGCUCUUGGGAUCUCAAAUAUGUCAUGGUAAUCCACAACUUGUAGCUGAAAUUUAGCACCUGCCUGAAAGCACUAUGUUGUUAUUUAACUGAUCAUAUGAUGGAAAAAAUAGAACAGAAACAUAUCAAUUAUUGUUGCUGGUGGGUUGGUUUGUUUUGUUUUACAAAGUCUGAGAAUAAAGAAUCCCCAGCUCUAGUCUAAAUUCUAUUUCUCUUUCCUACAGUAACCUUCUGGUAUGUCCUGAACCUUUCUUCAGUUUGUAAAUCUCCAUUUAGGAUGUUGCAAAUAAAAGACCUCCUCUUUCUCACAAUCAGAAAGAAUUAUGUUCCUGUUAGGAUUUCCAUAUAUUUUGAGAUGCAAGGUCAGACACUCUACAUACCUCUUGCUGCUUCCUGCACAACCUUUUGGUGUAUCAGCCACUCCUCCCAGUUCUGUGUUAUCAGCAGACUUACCGAGUACACUCUGCCCCCUCAUCCACACCACUGUGAAGAUGUUAAACAGGACUGGACUCAGUACUGAGCCCUGGGGUAUGCUGCUAGCUGCUGGCCUUCAAUUAGGAUUCCUGGGACUGAGCACCACCCUACAGGUCUGGCCAUUCAGCCAGUUUUAUGCACCUCACUCUCUGCUCAUUCAGCCCAUACUCCAUCAGCUUUUCUAUAAAAAUCUUAUGUGAGAUAAUGUCAAAAUCGCUUGUACCUAUAUGAACUUGUACGGUUACGAAAUAAAAAAGUCAGGGUUUUCCCUUGAAAUGCUUGCACCGGUAAUUAGAUUGUGAAAAAAACCCCAGACAACCAAAGAAUCAACCUGUCCUUUAGAAUGCCAACUCUCUGUUGCUAUGGUCACAAAUUAUCAUAGUAACCAUUAGACACAUAUGUAUUUUUUAGAUUAAAAUUGCUUCUAUUUUUACAGAAUACAGAUCCAAUUGAAAGAAACUACUCAUUCUUACCAGGAAAUACUAAAAAAAAAUCAGAGUAUAAAUUAUGGCAACACUAUUGAAUAAACAAACUCAAAGUGGUUAAUUGCAAAAAAAGGGGGGAGAAUAAGUCACAAACACUGCCGUAUUUCCAGCAGCUAGAAAAUAGUUUGAAUGGACAACAAAAAGAUUUGAGGACAGCUAUUCUAUAACACCAUAAUCUCAGCAAUCCUCACUGGAAAGUGGCUCAAUUAGAAAGCCCAGCAAGAUUAAACAGCCUUAGUCAGGGGUUAACUGCAGUAUUACUUCAUAUUUCUCCAUUAAAGCCCCAGUUUGUCGGUGUCAUGUUCCCCCUCUCCCCCUCCCCCAGGCAGGACUUUCACUCUCAUACAUAGGAAAUACCGACAUUCAACCUGUCAACUGUUACCAGACAAGUCUCUGCUCUCUCUUUUUCAUGACUGUAUGUUAUACCCUCUGGUGGACAAAAUGCAAUUCACAACCCUUCCCUUGCCUUACGGCCUUUAGAUCAGCACUGUGCUAACAGGAAUUUUGUCAUGAAAAUGCUGAACCAAAAUCAAGCAUCGUUACACAGCCUCUAAUUUCUGUACUUCAAGGAAGGUCCUUCAAGUAAUCUUUACCGGGCUAGAUCUGUCUCAGCUUCUCCAUUUUCUAACUGGGCUUUCAUUCAAUCCACAGUCUCAUACAUAGCUCAGCAUGCCUGAAUUUAGACAUGAAUUAAUGGACACAUGUCAAAGUAAAAAUUUCAUUUAUCUCUAUAUGACAUUCAGAACAUUUGAGAAAUAAUUUAACAGAGGAGUCAAAGUGAGGAGUCCAUCACCUCAGUGCUUUCCCAAAAACGCAGCAGCAUGAAUACAAAAAGUUUGUAUUCAAUACCAGGUUUGACAAUCAGGAUCAUUUACCUCCUAAUUUUAUAAAGUCACCAAAAAUUUUCAACUUGCUUUCUUUUUGGUAAGUUACUGAACAGUACUUACGAUAAAAACUUAGUUCCCUUGUAUGUAAAAAUUUUACAUGCUUGCCGUGCAGCCUCAGUCUCCUCCCUGAGCUGCUGCAAAGAACAUGACUGAAUUCCCCAUCUUUGAUAAGUCAGUAUAGCAAUGUAUUUCUACUGCUGCCACAAAUCUUCUAGUCUCAGACAGCUAUGUAUUACAGAAGACUUGAAUCUUUGCUCCUCUAGCGUUCACUCAUUUUUGCAGCCUUUCCACAAAUGUUACUUCUAACAUUUGGCUAAAUGCAGACAGAAUGCUUGUGUCCAAAGGGUCUGCAGUAGGCAUAUUUCAGCCAGAACCCACUGCAAGAAAAGGGAAUGACAUCAAACUAUGCUGUUGACAACAGAUGCUCAGAUUCCAUCUGGGAAUCCAGCCUUAGGCCUUGUUGUACAAGCGACUGCAUGAUUCUAGGUCACAGGAUUAAAUAAUGGAAAAAGGCUAAAUUUCAGCUCUACAAGCCAGUAUUUUUCAUGUCUCCACAGUCAGCAAAAUGGAAGUAGUCCUUUGCUUCAUGAGAGAAAACAUGGGAAACUUAACCGGGUCAUGAAAGGACAGGAGCUGAGAAACAGAGCACGGAAAUAACUGUUUGCUUGCAAGGGUUUACAGAAAGGUUUUAGGCAAAGAAUCAGAGACCUAAAUUUACCUGCAAAACUGCAGAAAAAUCCCCACCAAUUUGCCACUGUUUCUUUUAACUUCAUAUUAUUUCGAUUCCAAUUCUCAUCAGAAAUACAGUGCUGGCAGUUCUGACUGAAUUUUGGGAUUCUACAGACAGCUGCGUAUAUGAGUGUAGUAAAGUCCACCAUUUAGUUCAUCCAAAACUGUAGGCUUGAGGGGAGGGGUAAUUGCCCAGAUGAAAGAUAUCCUCUGGAGCUCCCUCAACAUAACACAUCCACUGCAAAGUGAUGCGAGACACUUGAUACUCAUCUGGUCCUCCCUGUACAUCAGCUGCCUGCUGAGGUAAAAUUCAAACUUUAUUGUUCUGAAGUGAUGAAAGGUUCAAGAACCUCAAUGCAUGUAGCUCAAGCUCAGCUUAGAACGGAUAAGACAGAGAGAGAGAGAUGCUGUAAGAGAGGAAUCAGGCUCUGACCUAUAGAGCGCAGAGUUUAAGUAUUGCUUGAGGAUCAGAAGGGCAACAGUUUUUCCUGGACAACUAUGUACUAUACACAAGACAGGUUCUUAGCUGCUAUGAAGGUUUAUUGUCUUCAUUUACUCUUUAAUCAUUCUCACAAGUUACUCUGAACACUUAAGAUCUCUGUUGAAGCCUUUAGGCCUCUUAACAAUGCCUGUAAACAACAUAAGACUGAGUUAUGUUGAUUAUGUCUAGCAAUAGUGCCAAAUUUCAGAUUAAAAGUGACCAGGAAUCCUUUCUCCUCAAUAACACUAAUGCACAUUCCCAUACAGCAUAUGCCUUUCUGCACAGACCACCUCUCAAACAUUAAAUUCAGUAGACUCCAGACCACAAAUAGCACACAGGAACUCCUGGGAAACUGGUCCUAGAAGCAAGGAGGUUGAACCAGAUAACCUCCAGAGGUCCCUUCCAACUCCACUGACUAUGAUUCUACGAGCUCAUAUAGCUUCAGAAUACUUCACUGAUUUUUCAUGUAUCCAACUUUAGAGGCAACUCAGAAAGCAGCACCACAAGAUACUUCAGCUGGGUGGCACAUUGCAAAUUUUUAGUGGGGAAGGCAAGAAAAACUAUACUACUGACCAGUUACAGAGAGAUGUGAUUCAGCAGUUCCCCAGCAAGUAUCAGAGUAAUGCGACAAUACAGUGUCCCUAUCAGAAAGAAGGGCAAGAAUAUUCCCCCCUCCCCAGAUGAGAGCUUAUUAGCUCUUAGGCCAUAAGCCAUACUUUCCAGCAUUAUAUGCAAUUUUGGAAGACAGACAGGAGAACUCAGCUCAAUUCAAUAGCUGCUCUCAAGCAUACAGUGACACUUCACAGUUAAAAUGCAAGCCUCCUUGAUACAAUGCUAUGUGCAGAUUGUGUAUAAUACCAGCGGAGUAUUCCAUAGUUAUCCCACUUUCCUCCUAAGGCACUAUAUUUCCUGCUUAUUAAGAUGGCGAAGAAUAAAUAACAGUUUCUGGGAAAUUGAUUUUCUCUAGAAAUCUUGCUUUUCAAGGCAAAAAUGACUUGGCCAUAUUUUGUGAGGGAGUCACACUUCCAAGAAGGAUGUAUAAAAGAAAAAAGCCCAGACUGCAAACGAACAAUGAAUGGAACUCAAUUCACUAAAAUGGGGGAAGGUGUAGCUUCCCCAGCACAAGCUUUGCAAUUUUAAGAACACCAGCAUCCCUCUAAUACAUUCUCUACCUACCAAGGAAACUAGUUUAAAACAAAUCAGUCCCCUGGACCCAGAAACAUAAGGCUGGAGAAUUAGAAACUCAAUAAAGAACAGUAAGAAAUUAAGAUGUUUAGUGGAAGUAUAAGAUUUAAAUCCUGACAGUAGUCUCUUCCUAUUUCUUACCCACUGUGGAGGAUACUGCCAAGCAAGUAAACACUGUUCCCUUUUAUGCAGCAAAUCACUAAGUUUCUCAGAUGGGAAACCACAUUUCACUAUUUUCUCUUCCAACAGGAGAACAGUGAUUCAUAGUAUUAUAAAGCGUGGAGGUACAACAUUUCUUUCCAAAAGGCAGUCCUGGCUUUACUUUGUAUCUCAUGCUACAGGUAUUUCAGGGCAAUUUUUAGGCACACAAAGUUUGACACGUACACCCCCCACCCUCCCAUGCCCCACAUCCCUCUUGCAACUUCAGGUAUCAUUUUCCCUCUGUUUUUUAAUCUCUGCCCAGGCACACUAGGAAAGCGGUAUGAAGACUUACUGAACACAAUGGGUUCUACUGCUAGGUGAAGAUGUAACCAUUUGAUUAAUUGCACAAUGAAGCUCACAGAUGAUACUGAAGAGAAACAUUUCCUGCUGAAACAUUCCAACAUUUCCUGCUGAAAACAAUGAGUAUCAGCUGACAAAAGCAUUUUAUCAAAACAGCACAUUCAGUGUUCUCAUUAACAAGGGAAUUUCUACGCAAAAAUGUGCCAUCCAAUGCAGAACUAUAGCAACUCACUAAGAGGUCACAUGGGUGGUGGCAGAUCUGCAGAGGUUUUGAUCAAGCAGAGCACAAUCUAGCAGUCACAUUUCUACUGGAAGAAGAAAAUAGUGUCCAUGCUAAGACAUUUUUCUUGCUCUGGGUAAGUUCUGCUGCUUAACAUCGUCAGCUUUGUAUCACACACUAAGGACUAACAGUCCUUAACUCUUCUUCACACUGUCUCUUACAACCAGAAGUUAUUUAAUUCCCCUGUACAACAAAACUCACGAGUAAGACUGACGCAUACCCACAGGCUAAUGACAUCAAGCAUCAAUGCUAAGUAGAAGAUACUUAGCACAGCACCUAGCUCAGGAAGACAAAGGUAAACACAAAUGCCAAAACUGAGUCUUCAGAAAUUCUUUUUGUGCUUCAAAGUAGGAAGAGUUACUACAAAUGAACAGAUUCCAGGAAACAUUCUGGAAAGCCACUCUGUGAAAGCAGAGCAAUCUGAGACUAUCGCAACAUGUUCACAAGGAAAGGGCACGAGGAUCAGCAUAAGGGGAGACUAAUAAAUCCCUGGUUUCCAAAUCAAGUUCCUCACAAUGAUUUACACAAAUGAUUUGCUAUGGAAGUUUUUAGUUGGAAAAAAAAUAAUCAAGAAAUGUGCUCAUAGAGGUACUUGGUAUAUAGAGAAUAAUGGUUCUCUUUUGUUCAGUACACUAAAAUCUAAGACAGCAAUUCCUUACAACUGAACCUUCCACAUCAUCAGUAAAGAUUUUUAUCCCUUAGAUGGAGAAAGAACUUUCCUCUGGAAACAGAAAGAAUUCCUGCUUC
ensembl:lncRNA